GUGUGUGUGUGUGUGUGUGUCUCAGGUCUGUGUGUGUGUGUGUGUGUGUCUCAGGUCAGUGUGUGUGUGUGUGUGUGUCUCAGGUCAGUGUGUGUGUGUGUGUGUCUCAGGUCAGUGUGUGUGUGUGUGUGUCUCAGGUCAGUGUGUGUGUGUGUGUGUGUCUCAGGUCAGUGUGUGUGUGUGUGUGUGUGUCUCAGGUCAGUGUGUGUGUCUCAGGUCAGUGUGUGUGUGUGUGUCUCAGGUCAGUGUGUGUGUGUGUGUCUCAGGUCAGUGUGUGUGUGUGUCUCAGGUCAGUGUGUGUGUGUGUGUCUCAGGUCAGUGUGUGUGUGUGUGUCUCAGGUCUGUGUGUGUGUGUGUGUCUCAGGUCAGUGUGUGUGUGUGUGUCUCAGGUCAGUGUGUGUGUGUGUGUCUCAGGUCAGUGUGUGUGUGUGUGUCUCAGGUCAGUGUGUGUGUGUGUGUCUCAGGUCAGUGUGUGUGUGUGUGUCUCAGGUCAGUGUGUGUGUGUGUGUGUGUGUGUGUGUGUGUCUCAGGUCACUGUGUGUGUGUGUCUCAGGUCAGUGUGUGUGUGUGUGUGUGUCUCAGGUCAGUGUGUGUGUCUCAGGUCAGUGUGUGGGGGAUUAUUCCCUCCUGUUCUCUACAUCUGUCCUGGAGAUGGUUGAUAUUUAGCCCCAACAUGAGCCCUGUGUUCCCCACGUAGAGGAGGACCGGGACAGAGGGGCAUGACGGCACAUCGCUGAGUUAAAUGGGCAAUGUAGCGUGGCAGGUAUUUGGUCUACACCAACUCCUCCAUGACAUAGUCUGGGCAUGUUGACAGACAGACUGACUGGACAGACUGACUGACUUGAAUCAGCUGUGUUCUACUGGUGGGGGAAACCAGAAUGUGCUCCUCUUGGGGUCCUGUGGGCGGAGUUUGGGGAAACCCUGGACUGAUACUUCCUGUGUCUUUGGGGCCGUGAUGUCUGGCUGACUGUCUGGACCAUCUGAUCCUCAGACAUUAUUUACUACAAACACGGAGAGUCCAUGAGUGUUAACCUGAUCCCAGAUCUGUUUCUUCUCUAGUCUGCUCCCAUGUCCGUCUGUGGCAAACCAAACAUGACAAUGAGUGAAGUAGUUGUCUUGGCACAUGGGCUCAUGUCGGCCAAUAACGUGACCCAGCAACCAUAGAGGCUAAAUCAGAAGUAGCUGAAAUCUUCACUGAUCCUCCCUCUCUCUCCCUCUCCUCUCUCUC